CAAGUAUAUCAAGGGUCCUCUGUUUCCUACCGUCGCUUAACAUGGCCAGAACGAGAAGGUUACUGUCAACUUUGGGCAGGAGAAGUUUGCUUUUGAUCUUAAGAUAAGGAACUCCACUCAAUUCAACACUAACAGCUGUAGAGGUGAUUUGAGGUUCAUUAGGUGAGAAUUCAGAUUACCAAGGGGCGACGAACAUUGGGAGAUAGGUCAGCUCAGAAGGGAGAAGAUAUCCAGAAUGUGUUGCCCAGAGCUUCCACUGCAUGGCGUCUAGAACAUGCAUCUUUUUUUUUAGAUAUUUGAAUAAAAAAGAUUUUGAGUAUAGAAUAAGUGAGUCUAAGAGCAUUUGUAUCUAUAAUUUGUUUUUUUUUCUUUUCAUAUUGUGUCUAAUUUAUAAAAUAAAAUAAAAACUAGGAGAGAAAAUGGCGAAUUAUUGCCUCCGAUACAAGCUUUCUCUCUUGGAAAAUGGCAAACACAUGAUACAACAUAUAUAUUUUAAUAUUUAUUAUUUGAAAAAUAAUAAUUAUAUGUGGUAAACUCUACCUUCCUCGAAGAAGAAGACGAUGACAUUUUCGAAAGAUAAAGUCUUAAAAAUAUUAAAAAUAAAUGAUCGUGAGAAGGUUUUCCAGCUUGUUUAAAGAAAUUUAUAAUGUUUUUGCUUUUAACUUCAUCAUGAUCACCUGAUAUUUAUAGAUCUUUAUGUUUUACGAUAAUAUUUGUUGAAAUCAUAUCUUGUUAGGCUAAAAAUAGAAUUUACAUGAGAAGCAGAUGAAGCUAUUUGACAAUAGUUAAAUUAUAAACUGAAAAUAAUUUUGACUAUUUUACUAACAAAAAGCCAAAUGAUUCAUUUUCUUUAUACUGCGUCAUAGUCAGAUGAUAAUUAUAUAUUUUUAAACUUAUCUAUUACGAUAAUAUUUGUUUAAAUCAUUUCUUGUUAGGCUAAAAUAUAAAUUAAAUGAGAAGCGGAUGAAGCUAUUUGACUAUAGUUAAAUUAUAAACUAUAAACAACUUUGACCAUUUUACCAACACAAAGCCAAAUAAUUUUUUUCUUUAUACUUAGUCAUAGUCAAAUGAUAUUUAUAGCUUUUAAUUUUAUCUUUUAUGAUAGUAUUUGAUUAAAUUAUUUUUGGUAGGCUAAAACUAAAAUUCAAAUAAGAAGCUUAUGAAGUUUAAAUUUGUCAUGGUCACGUCUUUUUUAUAGCUUUUAGUUUAUUUCUUACAAUAAGAUUCAAGUGAGAAACGAAUGAGUUUAUUUGAAUGAAUUUUAUUGUUAGUCUAAAAAUAAGAGUCACAUGAGAAGCCAAUAUUUUAUUUCCAACUGCCCAUCCAUCUUCAGUUCCAGCAAAUCUAAAUUUUGAAGUGGCUUGUUUCUUAUAUGACUAGCCUCGGAAAUUUCCUUUAAUUGAAAUUAUUUCAACAUUAAUAAUGAUAAACUCUUAUAACAAAAAUAGUAUACGAGUUAAAACUUAUUGAAUGUGGCUUACAUUGCACCGAUCAUCCCACCAUUCCGAAUCCAUCUCGAUUUCAUUGGUAGUCUGAUUAACAUGUACUCCAGUUUUUUUUUUGCUUAACCUUUUGUAUGCAGUGUACCAUAUUUUCAGACUAUCAUAAUGAUUCUUAAAGUUUUUCCAUACCAGUUUAUAUCCCGUUGCUUUUUAAAAUUUAUCGAAUAAUCGUUCUUUUACUUCUUUUAAAAGGAGAGCCUCUUUCUAGUUCUCUUCUUCUUGUUCGGAUACAAACACUUCAAGGAAUGCAUGAGUCUUGUUAUCAUUCCAUGUGAUCUUGUUUUAUUAAAAUAUUAAACCAAAAUACAUUAUAUUCAUAUAACAUAAUAUCCAUAAAAGUUGUACUAAAAUCAUUUAACAUAUAAAUACAUUACCUUUCGAGAGGAAGACGAUGACAUUUCUGUAGAAAUAAAAGAUUUAAAU